rnacentral:rRNA from 1 species
UACGUAGGGUGCAAGCGUUAAUCGGAAUUACUGGGCGUAAAGCGUGCGCAGGCGGUUGUGCAAGACCGAUGUGAAAUCCCCGGGCUUAACCUGGGAAUGGCAUUGGUGACUGCACGGCUAGAGUGUGUCAGAGGGGGGUAGAAUUCCACGUGUAGCAGUGAAAUGCGUAGAGAUGUGGAGGAACACCGAUGGCGAAGGCAGCCCCCUGGGCCAAUACUGACGCUCAUGCACGAAAGCGUGGGGAGCAAACAGG